rnacentral:rRNA from 1 species
GACAUGUACGGAACUUGCCAGAGAUGGCUUGGUGCUCGAAAGAGAGCCGUAACACAGGUGCUGCAUGGCUGUCGUCAGCUCGUGUCGUGAGAUGUUGGGUUAAGUCCCGCAACGAGCGCAACCCUUGUCAUUAGUUGCUACGAAAGGGCACUCUAAUGAGACUGCCGGUGACAAACCGGAGGAAGGUGGGGAUGACGUCAAGUCCUCAUGGCCCUUAUGGGUAGGGCUACACACGUCAUACAAUGGCCGGUACAAAGGGCAGCCAACCCGCGAGGGGGAGCCAAUCCCGUAAAGCCGGUCGUAGUCCGGAUCGCAGUCUGCAACUCGACUGCGUGAAGUCGGAAUCGCUAGUAAUCGUGGAUCAGCAUGUCACGGUGAAUACGUUCCCGGGUCUU